rnacentral:rRNA from 1 species
CUCAGGAUGAACGCUAGCGGCAGGCUUAACACAUGCAAGUCGAGGGGCAGCAUGAAGGUUAGCAAUAACCUUUGAUGGCGACCGGCGCAAGGGUGCGUAACGCGUGAGCAACUUGCCCCGUUUCUGGGGGAAUAACCCGGUGGAAACGCCGACUAAUACCCCCAUGGCAUCAGAUUGAGGCAUCUUAAUCUGAUUAAAGAAUUUCGGAAACGGAUAGGCUCGCGUGACAUUAGCUAGAUGGCGGGGUAACGGCCCACCAUGGCGACGAUGUCUAGGGGGUUCUGAGAGGAAGGUCCCCCCACACUGGAACUGAGACACGGUCCAGACUCCUACGGGAGGCAGCAGUGAGGAAUAUUGGUCAAUGGGCGGGAGCCUGAACCAGCCAAGUAGCGUGAAGGAUGACUGCCCUACGGGUUGUAAACUUCUUUUGUUUGGGAAUAAAAGACGCUACGUGUAGCGUUGUGCAUGUACCUUACGAAUAAGCAUCGGCUAAUUCCGUG